AGGAAGAGCAAGCAACUGCGAUUGCCACAGUAACGGCGAGUGAAUGGGCAACCGAUUCGUCUCUACCCGAAGUGAAUCCCUAUCGCACUCUGUGCGUUCGGCUCUCGUGGGUUUCAAUGAAUGCUGUGGGCUAUGGAUCGGAUGGCUGUGCCUAGGUCUGGCUGUGCACCAGGAAGUGACCUGGAAUGGUCCACGACACAGGGUUACUGUCCCGUACUGAUGACUGUGUGCAUGGCCAGCCUGGGUGUGGCUGUUCGAAUCCCGGAGUAGAGUGGCUUGGGACUGCAGUUUGAAGUGCAAGGUGUAUCCAUUGCAAGGCAGCAUACCGACAUGGGACCGAUAGCGCACAAGUAGAGUGAUUGAAGGAUGCAAAGGACUUUGCAAAGAGGGUUAAAAGUCCCUGAAGCCUCGACGGGAGCGGCGGAAAGUGGUGCUGUGGUUCUCGGUCAGUGGGCCACUGGCUGCAUCGCUGUCGCAUCGUGCGGUAGUCCUUCCCGGAUCGCCCACGACGGCUGUGUGUGGCUGGUGGAUUGCCCCCACGACCGCUGCCCCUCUGUGGUGGCAGGCACCCUCCGGGGUGUGAUGUUGACAUCCAAGUGGCCUUGGGCCAGCCCAGCGCUGGCCACUGAGCCCCGUCCACACCAGGAUGGGAUGCAAUCGUGGCAGUGUGUGGUGGCACCCUGCUUGCCAGGGCCUGAGGUUUGCAGAGUCUCCAGCGAGAAUGUGUAUGCUUGGCAACACACUGGGAUCACAAGGUGGCUGUGUCGUCCCAGAUGGUUCCUCUGUCGAGGCGAGGCGAUGCAUGGUCAUCCCCAGCAAUUGUGUAGCCUGUGAGUGAGCAUCAUCAUUGGUGUGAAUGUUGUUGGCCAAACCCUGGUGUUGUCUCCGGACAUCCCAGGUGUGCCGUGCCUGGACAUGGAUCCGAGGCUUGUGGCUGCAUGGGGCUGCACUGCUCUGACGGUGGCUCCUGUGUGAUCGCUUGUCUCCCAGACGGUGCACGGUGCUAAGGCAGCUGAGCUUGGUACAGCAGUGCCACUCUCUGCCCGUCUUGAAACACGGACCAAGGAGUCUAUGGAGCUUGCAGGUUUGCAGGUGAUUGUGCAAAACCACAGGGCGUGGUGAAGGCAAACCUAUCCCAGAUGGUGCAUGGAAGUGUCAAGCCAAGCGAUUGGCCAUCGCUGCUGCGCAGGGUAUGUGGAACUGUCUGUGCCCAGUGUGCACUUUGGUUCGAUCGCAAGGGCUGUGUGAACUCUCUGUGUGAAUGCUGCAUGGGACACCGGUCCCGAAGUCCAGUGGACAGGGUUCUGAGUGCUUGCAAGGUCCAUGGGACCCGAAAGGUGGUGAACUAUACCGUUCUACGACGAAGCCGUGGGAAACUGCGGUGGAGGUCGGUCGCUGUUCUGACGUGCAAAUUGUGUAGCCUGAGUGCGGCAUAGGGGUGAAAGGCCAAUCGAGCCACCUAGUAGC
rnacentral:rRNA from 1 species